rnacentral:rRNA from 1 species
AUGAAGGUCUUCGGAUUGUAAACCCCUGUCAUUUGUGACCAAGGUUGUCUAUUGAAUAGAUGGACGGCUUGAUGGUAGCGAAAGAGGAAGGGACGGCUAACUCUGUGCCAGCAGCCGCGGUAAUACAGAGGUCCCAAGCGUUGUUCGGAUUCACUGGGCGUAAAGGGUGCGUAGGUGGUUGAGUAAGUCUGGUGUGAAAUCUCCGAGCUUAACUCGGAAAUGGCAUCGGAAACUACUUGGCUUGAGGAUUGGAGGGGAGACUGGAAUUCUCGGUGUAGCAGUGAAAUGCGUAGAUAUCGAGAGGAACACCAGUGGCGAAGGCGAGUCUCUGGACAAUUCCUGACACUGAGGCACGAAAGCUAGGGGAGCAAACAGGAUUAGAUACCCUGGUAGUCCUAGCUGUAAACGGUGCACGUUUGCUGUAAUCGGAAUCGACCCCGAUUGUGGCGAAGCUAACGCGUUAAACGUGCCGCCUGGGGAGUACGGUCGCAAGAUUA